rnacentral:rRNA from 1 species
GACGAACGCUGGCGGCGUGGAUUAGGCAUGCAAGUCGGACGGUAGGGCUUUAUCGUAAGAUAGAGUUUGAGAGUGGCGAACGGGUGAGUAACACGUAGGAAUCUACCCUUAAGACGGGGACAACCCAGGGAAACUUGGGCUAAUACCGGAUGAGAGUGCGAGAGAUUGCAUUUAAAAAGGAUGGCGAAAGUUGUCGCUUAGGGAUGAGCCUGCGGUCUAUUAGUUAGUUGGUGAGGUAAGAGCUCACCAAGGCGAUGAUAGAUAGGCGGCCUUAACGGGUGGUCGCCCACACUGGGAUUGAGAUACGGCCCAGACUCCUACGGGAGGCAGCAGUCGAGAAUAGUCUACAAUGGCCGGAAGGCUGAUAGUGCGACGCCGCGUGAACGAGGGAGCCCUUCGGGUGUAAAGUUCUUUUAGUAGGGAAGAAGCGCAAGUGACGGUACCUGCAGAAAAGCACCGGCUAACUACGUGCCAGCAGCCGCGGUAAGCAUACUCGUA